UACCGAGGGUGCGAGCGUUGUCCGGAAUUACUGGGCGUAAAGGGCGCGUAGGCGGCUUGGUAAGUCGGGGGUGAAAGUCAGCGGCUCAACCGCUGGACUGCCUUCGAGACUGCCUGGCUUGAGCAUGGUAGAGGCUGGCGGAAUUCCCGGUGUAGCGGUGGAAUGCGUAGAGAUCGGGAAGAACAUCGGUGGCGAAGGCGGCCAGCUGGGCCAUUGCUGACGCUGAUGCGCGACAGCGUGGGGAGCAAACAGG
rnacentral:rRNA from 1 species